GACAGAGGUGCCAAGCGUUAGGCGGAAUCACUGGGCUUAAAGCGUGUGUAGGCGGAAUUCUAAGUACCUUGUGAAAUCCCACAGCUCAACUGUGGAACUGCUCGGUAUACUGGUUUUCUUGAGCCACUUAGGGGCUGUCGGAACAAGCGGUGGAGCGGUGAAAUGCGUAGAUAUCGCUUGGAACGCCGAAGGUGAAAACAGGCUGCUGGGGUUGCGCCGACGCUGAGACACGAAAGCCAGGGGAGCAAACGGG
rnacentral:rRNA from 1 species